rnacentral:rRNA from 1 species
GACGAACGCUGGCGGCGUGCUUAACACAUGCAAGUCGAGCGGAGCGGUGAACGGGUGAGUAACGCGUGAGUAACUGCCCCCCCCUCUGGGAUAACCGUUGGAAACGGCUGCUAAUACCGGAUAGUGGGGGAUGACUCGCGUCCUAGCAGCUUGUUGAUGGGGUAGUGGCUUACCAAGGGGACGACGGGUAGCCGGCCUGAGAGGGCGACCGGCCUCAUUGGUCUAAGAUACGGACCAAACUCCUACGGGGGGCAGCAGUGGGGAAUAUUGCGCAGUGGGGGAAACGCUGAUGCAGCAGCGCCGGGUGCGGGAUGACGGGCUUCGGGUUGUAAACCGCUUUCAGCCAUGACGCGGUAGUGACAGAAGAAGCACCGGCUAACUACGUGCCAGCAGCCGCGGUAAUUC